rnacentral:rRNA from 1 species
GACGAGCGCUGGCGGCGUGCUUAACACAUGCAAGUCGAACGAAGAGCGAUGGAAGCUUGCUUCUAUCACUCUUAGUGGCGAACGGGUGAGUAACGCGUAAUCAACCUGCCCUUCAGAGGGGGACAACAGUUGGAAACGACUGCUAAUACCGCAUACGAUCUAAUCUCGGCAUCGAGGAUAGAUGAAAGGUGGCCUCUACAUGUAAGCUAUCACUGAAGGAGGGGAUUGCGUCUGAUUAGCUAGUUGGAGGGGUAACGGCCCACCAAGGCGAUGAUCAGUAGCAGGUCUGAGAGGAUGAACGGCCACAUUGGGACUGAGACACGGCCCAGACUCCUACGGGAGGCAGCAGUGGGGAAUCUUCCGCAAUGGACGAAAGUCUGACGGAGCAACGCCGCGUGAGUGAUGACGGCCUUCGGGUUGUAAAGCUCUGUUAAUCGGGACGAAAGGCCUUCUUGCGAAUAGUGAGAAGGAUUGACGGUACCGGAAUAGAAAGCCACGGCUAACUACGUG